GCCCUCGUAGUUCAAUGGAUAGAACGAUCGCCUCCUAAGCGAUAAAUUCAGGUUCAAGUCCUGGCGGGGGUA
rnacentral:tRNA from 1 species